UACAGAGGUCUCGAGCGUUAGGCGGAAUCACUGGGCUUAAAGCGUGUGUAGGUGGAUCGUUAAGUACCUUGUGAAAUCCCACGGCUUAACCGUGGAACUGCUUGGUAUACUGGCGGUCUUGAGCCAGCUAGGGGCUACCGGAACAAAUGGUGGAGCGGUGAAAUGCGUAGAUAUCAGGAGGAACACCUGUGGCGAAAGCGGCGCACUGGACCACAACUGACGCUGAGGCGCGAAAGCUAGGGGAGCAAACAGG
rnacentral:rRNA from 1 species